UUUAAUGGGCAGAUCCAGUAGUUACUUAAUUGAACUAUUGGGGUCAAUGAGACGACUCUAAGUGGGCCAUUUUUGGUAAGCAGAACUGGCGAUGAGGGAUGAACCUAACGCUCGGUUAAGGUGCUAAACUGCUCGCUCAUCAGAUACCACAAAGGGUGUUGGUCGAUCUUAACAGCAGGACGGUGGUCAUGGAAGUCGAAAUCCGCUAAGGAGUGUGUAACAACUCACCUGCCGAAUCGACUAGCCCCGAAAAUGGAUAGCGCUGAAGCGAGUGACCGAUACCGGGCCAUUGUUGCAAGAUAAUUGGCAACAAUGAGUAGGAGGGCGUGGGGGUUGUGAAGAAGCUUGGACGUGAGUCUGAGUGAAACAGCUUCCAGUGCAGAUCUUGGUGGUAGUAGCAAGUAUUCAAUAAGAGAACAUUGAAGGCCGAAGUGGGGAAGGGUUCCAUGUGAACAGCACUUGGACAUGGGUUAGCCGAUCCUGAGAGACAGGUUAAAUUCCAUCGGAUUGGAGCUUUGGCUCUGUUUCUCGAAAGGGAAGCUGGUUAGUAUUCCAGCGCCGAGACGUGGAUAAUAUGUGGCAACACAAGUGAACUCGGACACGCCAUAGGGGACCCCAGGAAGCGUUGUCUUUUCUUUUUAACAGUUCGACUUACCCUGGAAUCAGAUCAUCUGGAGAUAGGGUUUUCGAACUGGAAUAGCACCUUGUCUAACAGGGUGUCUGGAGUGUUCUCGCUGGCCCUUGAAAAUCCGAGGGAUAGAUUUAUUCGCACUCUCGAUCGUACCCAUAACCGCAUCAGGUCUCCAAGGUUAGAAGCCUCUGGUCCGUAGGACAAAGUAGAUAAGGGAAGUCGGCAAAAUAGGUCCGUAACUUCGGGAAAAGGACUGGCUCUGAGGUUUGGUAUGUGGAACCUGGAUUAAUCGUUGGAGUCGAGCAGAGACUACUUGUUGCUCACGUGACUUGUGGACUCCUUGCUUGAUACCUUCAAUUGAUCCAGGCUGCUUCAGCGCUCUGCAUGCACUUAACAAACAGCUCAGAACUGGAGCGGACAAG
rnacentral:ncRNA from 1 species